CCCCACUAGCUCCGCUCAGAGGAUCAUGGCCACGCUACCAGGUCUCAGUGAACAUCUCCGUUUACUUCCCCUAUCACUCACCCACCGCAUCAGACACAACCACAGCAGCAGCCAAAAAAAAAACACACAGCCCAUUUCGCCCGUGAACAUGCUUCCCCCGGCCCUCCAGCCGCUAGUGCCACCUCCACUUCGUGAACCCCACCACGGCGCUGGACAUUGGGGCCGCCGAUUACAGCACCGUUUACCCUCGGCUGUGUUCCAUCGAGUAUCUCGUGACCGCCGCAACGUGUCUGGGAACGAUGCUUUAUGGGUUUGCCGUGCUCCAGUCGUUCUGCUACAAGAAUUUCUUUUCGUACCAGUGGGACACCGUCGAUCCGAACCCCUUCUUUGAACGCAUGGGCUCCAAGGGCUACGACGAUAGCGUAGACGAUCAAUGGGUCGGGUUCAUCACUCAUUACAAGCGUUUUCUUGGUCUGGCCCUGCUGCUGGCGGGCUUUUCCGGGCUGUAUCGAGCGCUGCUCUCUUACUCAACGUCAUCUGCAUCCCCCGUCCCCUCUGACAGCACGGCCUGCUCAUCACCCUCGGCGAGCAGCGAGUGCUCAGGGUCGCUGGACGGCCAUGUAAAGGUGUGGAUGCCACCGAGGUGGUUGGAUAAGCUACGCUCACGCGCGCGCACUCUCGGCUCACCCUCAGGUGCACGGAGGAGGUGCACCGACUUUCUGCAGCGCUCUUGGAUCCUGCCCGCCUUCUACACGGUUGUGGGCGUCGUCUUCGUCAUCUUUGUGCACGGCCCGCACUUUUUCCUCCCGCUGCUCAUCAUCAUCGCCAACUACGUCAUCUUCUCGCGGCUGCAGCGCUGGUGCCCCUACUGGCUGUUCAUGGUCAUCAUGUGGGCCGCGCACGUCACUCUCCUGUACCUCAUCGAGAUCAACGAUGGGUUCGAGCAGACGUACUGGCUGCAGUACUACACUUCGUGUAUUCUGUCACACCUGCAAGCCAUUCAGGGAGAUGCGGAAGCAAUUCCUUGGGAGCAGCGUAUGCGCUGGUGCGUAGCCUUCCGCAUGUCGACGCUGCGCCUCAUCGCCUUCAACUACGACCUGUGGGAGGCCACGCACGCCGCCGCACGCGCGCGCGACCGUGCCAGGGCGAAGCACGACACCGGCUGCGUCGAGUGCGCGCAGCUGCGCGAGCAGAACGCAGCGUCGGCGGCCGCGCUGCCCGCCGAGGCGUUGCGCUGCUACAAGUACCGCACCGAGUACGCGCGCGACCCCGCCGACUACAACUUCCUGAACUACGCCGCCUACGUGCUGUUCCCGCCACUGUACCUUGCCGGGCCAAUGUCGUCCUUCAACGCGUUCGUGUCGCACAUGCGCGUGCCGAGCACGUCGAUGCCGCUGCGCAAGAUGGUGAGGUACGCGUUUGGCAUCCUCCGCAUCUACAUCACGGAGUACACGCUGUUGCACUUUGUGCACAUCCCGUGCCUCGGCUCGUACGCCUUCGUGAUCCUUCGGAUGACCUUGCUGGAGCAGGCGCACUUCCUGUUCUACAUGCUGGCCUACCUGUGGCUGAAGUUCAGCUUUAUAUGGAAGUCGUCGCGUCUCUUCGCCAUGUUCAGCGGCAUCGAAGUUCCGGAGGACAUGCGGCGCUGCUUCGGCAACACGCUGACGGUGCGGGGCUUCUGGCGCGACUGGCACGCCUCCUUCAACCUGUGGAUCGUGCGGUACAUGUACAUCCCGAUGGGUGGCCGCAGCCGCGUCGCGCUGUCGGUGCUGCCCAUCUUCCUGUUCAUUGCGGUGUGGCACGACCCGGCGCUGCACCUUGUCAAGUGGGCGGUGUGCAUUGCCGCGAUGUUCGUGGCGGAGGUGGCGGUGAGCGGGUGCUUUGGGUGGGCCGCUGCGGCGUUCCGGCGCGAGAUGGCCGCCGCGGCACCGACGGGCGCAGUAAGUGAUGCUGCGCUGGAGAACGGUCGCCCCACGAACUGCGCGCCGCGCCGCAGUCUGCUGGCACGGCUGGCGAGGCUCUCUGCGCGUCGCUUGAGCCCGCUCGCGCAAUCGUGGGUAUACCGCCAAUUUCGAGUGAUAGCGGGCAUGACCACAGUGCUCGGGCUGAUCAUUGCGAACUUGGUGGGUUUCUCGAUGCAAAAUGCGGUGGCGACUGUGGAGAAGCACGGCCUACCGUCGUCGGGGACCGAUGCAGACAAUGUGAUCAAGAAGGCGUUUCACGGUCUCACGCCUCUCUUUACCCUAGGCCUGAUUGCCUUCAUGUACUCUAUGUCCGCCUUGGCGGCGAUGGAUCGCGACAUGGCCCGCCAGCAGGCAUCGUACUUGAAGCUGCUCUAUAGAUUGAAGCAGUAGCGGCCCCGUCACGAUGGCGUCACGAAGGAGUAGGUGGCACGAGUCUGCAGUGUGGAUGAGCCUGUGCAUCCGACUGGCGCGCGGCCCCAUCUCCCUUUUGCGCCAGCCAUCUAUGGUUUCUUCCCCUUUCUGCGAAAGGCGUCGAUGAUGUCGUUUCGCAGGCUUUUUUUUGGGUCUCUGGCCUUCUCUUCCCCUC
rnacentral:misc_RNA from 1 species